UACGUAGGCAGCAAGCGUUGUUCGGAGUUACUGGGCGUAAAGGGUGCGUAGGCGGCUUUUUAAGUCUGGUGUGAAAUCUCCCGGCUCAACUGGGAGGCUGCCGUGGAAACUGCCGUGCUUGAGUGUGGGAGAGGUGAGUGGAAUUCCCGGUGUAGUGGUGAAAUGCGUAGAUAUCGGGAGGAACACCAGUGGCGAAGGCGACUACCUGGCCUGUUCUUGACGCUGAGGCGCGAAAGCUAGGGGAGCAAACGGGG
rnacentral:rRNA from 1 species